rnacentral:rRNA from 1 species
UUGUGCCAGCCGCCGCGGUAAUACGAAGGGGGCUAGCGUUGCUCGGAAUCACUGGGCGUAAAGGGCGCGUAGGCGGCCAUUUAAGUCGGGGGUGAAAGCCUGUGGCUCAACCACAGAAUUGCCUUCGAUACUGGGUGGCUUGAGUCCGGAAGAGGUUGGUGGAACUGUGAGUGUAGAGGUGAAAUUCGUAGAUAUUCGCAAGAACACCGGUGGCGAAGGCGGCCAACUGGUCCGGGACUGACGCUGAGGCGCGAAAGCGUGGGGAGC